rnacentral:rRNA from 1 species
UAGAUACCCUAUUAUUUGGAAUGUAUUUAAUUAACUAAAGUAGUAGUAGUUAUGUUCUUGAAACUUAAAAAAUUUGGCGGUAUUUUAGUCUAUUCAGAGGAACCUGUUCUGUAAUCGAUAAUCCACGAUGGACCUAACUUAAGUUUGUUUUUCAGUUUGUAUACCGUCGUUAUAAGAAUAUUUUAUAAGAAAAAUAAUUUUCUAGAAUUUUUAUAAAAAUUUAUAUCAGAUCAAGGUGCAGCUUAUAUUUAAGUAGAAAUGGGUUACAAUAAAUAUAUUUAUAAUGAAUUUAAUUUUGAAAUAAAUUAAUAAAAGUGGAUUUGAAUGUAAAAUUAUAAAGAUUAAUAAUUUGAUUUUAGCU